AAGAAUGGAAGGAACACAAGAGACUAAGGAGAUGACCAGCGAGCAAUGACGCGAGCGCAUGGCCCACGCGAACGCGCGAAGUGAAGAAUUCGCAGCGAUGCGGACGCGUGCCUGACGUAAACGCGUGGAUUGGAGUCUGCACGCAUGACGCGAACGCGUGAAUGACGCGAACGCGUGACAAGGAAAAACGAUGAAUGACGCGAACGCGUGGACGACGCGUACGCGUGACCUGCGCGAUUUGCAAAAAUAAUAGAA
rnacentral:lncRNA from 1 species